AUGCUCGCUUCAGCAGCACAUAUACUAAAAUUGGGAUGAUUCAGAGAUCAGCAUGGCCCCUGCAGAAGGAUGACACACAGAGCCUCACUGUCACAGGACAACUAU
ensembl:snRNA U6 U6 spliceosomal RNA